rnacentral:rRNA from 1 species
UACGGGGGGAGCAAGCGUUGUUCGGAUUUACUGGGCGUAAAGGGCGCGUAGGCGGUCAGCACAAGUCAGUUGUGAAAUCUCCGGGCUUAACUCGGAAAGGUCAACUGAUACUGUGCGACUAGAGUGCAGAAGGGGCAACUGGAAUUCUCGGUGUAGCGGUGAAAUGCGUAGAUAUCGAGAGGAACACCUGCGGCGAAGGCGGGUUGCUGGGCUGAUACUGACGCUGAGGCGCGAAAGCCAGGGGAGCGAACGGG